UUAAUCCCCUUUGGAUACAGUCAAUUUACAAUUGAAAAGAGGUCUUUAAAACAGUGGGAUAAAGGAAACAACCACUCUGUGAUGAAGAGGAAAAUAAUACUUUUAAAAGACUUUAAAAUAACAGCAAAGAGCUUAACAAGAUUUUGACUUAAGAAAGUUACAAGCGGAUAAAGGGGACGGUAUAAAUCUGAAAGAUUAACUUUUUGGUGAAAGGGCUUUUGGUGUUAUUUGGAAUUAAAUAGAUAGACCAGA